AUCAAAGGAAGAAAUCAAGCCUGAUAGAGGAAACUUGGCAUGUGAAGAAACAUUUGCUAAGUCAUCCCUUUGCAUGACAGGCAAAAAUGACACAUCAGAGAAAGUCCUUGGGUUAGCUUGGAAUUGUACAACUGAUGAAUUUCAGCUUUUGUUUCAGGGUUUAGUUGAGAAAGCAAAAUCGCAACCUGUAACCAAACGCAAUAUUCUUAGAAUAUUA